CUGUACUUGAGAUAUUUCACUGAGUGGGAGACAAAGAGGCUUUGUGUGCUCUUCAAAGUGCUCUCUGCUGACUGUGAUACACAUCCAGGAAAAACCCAGACCAAAGCCAUGAAGUCACCCCAAGUUCAAACCCAAAAUGCAAUUUGCAGUGGUUAGAAAUGACAAAGGAUGGGUGGUAGGAUCCAGAGAAAAAACAGUGAAACCCGAUGGACCUUAAAUAGAUCUGAGGGCACUGAUUUGAUUAUUUUGGGUGAAAUCUUUUAAGAAAAUCUUGUCAGAUUCUUCACAGAAAAUUUGGUAAAGCCUAUAUUUCAUCGCCAGCCUAGCAAAGGCAAGCUGGCAAACAGGGAAACAAGGAGAACUGUGUGCUCAGCCCUCCAGAGUGGCACGGAUUAUGAGGAGGUGAUGGUCCUUCCCCGCCAAGAUCCUGAGACACUGUCACUCCGGAAUCCAAAAAGAGAUUCAGAUACCAUGAAAGGAUUUGAGCGUUUUUUUAUGUGAAUCCAAAGAUGACAUUUACAAAAGGUGGAGAAGCAGUUCCCUACUGAGGGACGUGGAUACAAAAAGCAGAUGACACAACACAUCCCAUAGAGUUCCCAGGGAAGAAUGAACCCAGAUUCUUGACCUGCAGAGGUGGCGUACUGGCUGGAGAAAUCUCUGGCUGGCGACCGUGCUAUUCUGUCUGUCCACCUAACUGUGGGCUCCCAGAUCACCACUGCCAUGGGCAGGGGGCCGUGGGGUGGGCCUGCUUGGGGUGACAGGCUAGCUGUGCUCCCAUAGCAGAGGUGGGAGAAGGGAAUCACAUCUGGUGAGCAGCUAUGUCGUGCCAGGCACUGUGCUGUGUAUUGCACACAUCUCAAACCUUGUGACAAAUGUGUAAGAUAUUUUUUAUGUAUUACAAAUGAAGGAACUGGGCUCAGAAAAGCUCCAUUAUUUGCCCAAAUUGCAGCAGUAAUGCAGGAAUUUGAAUCCACAUUAAUCUGACUCCACAACCCAUGUUCUUUCACUGAAUUCCCAUAUCCUUGUUCCCCCUACUGUCCUCACUGGUCAAGGUGAGCUUGGUCUUCCACAAACAGGCUAGAAAAGUAUGCUUACUUAUCUUUAGCUUUAUGCUUUUAAACUAAUUCUUAAAAAUCUUCUCUGGAUAAGUCAAAGACAAUGGGAAUGUGUAUUUCUAAUACAUUAAUUAUAAUACAUUACCGGUUUACACAAUGCCAUCACCUUGUCAUUUUCUUUGACACAACGUCCCCCUCCCCUCUAGUUUAUAAAUGAGGACAUUGAGGCACAAAGUGGGUAAGUGACUUGCCCAAGGGGGAGAUUUGUCCAAUCAUAAAGAUGGGCCUGAACUUUUUCUACUUUGCAUUCUUACUUGAAAGGCAGGAAACAUAUGCUCAAGAGGGAGAUCUCACGAAAUUUCAUGUCAUAUAGUGCUCUCGCUAAUUUAAUCCUGUCAUUCCUGGUUAUAUCCCUUUGGAAAAACCACCACCAGUGCCUUCUCUUUUGAUAUAUUUACAGUAAAAAUAUUCCCUGUACAAACCAUCUCACUCUUUCACAGGGAACUGGCUUGGCCCUCUCCCCUGAAGUGGGUUGCACAUCCACCCAGCCCACCCCCAGCUCACUCUAGCUCCCUUCCUGUUAGAAUUUAUUCAGAACCUCCAUUUCUAGGAGGAAGCAAGGAGGGGGCAGUUAUCUUCGUGGACUUGGGUCCUCCUGGACCCUUUGUCCUCAUGGUUAUGUUUCAAACAGAGUUGAGGGCUCCCUAAAGGGGAAAGAUUAUUUAAGUUUUGUAAAUGCUGCCCUCCAAAAACCACUCCACAUAAAUGUUUCAUGGCUUAGCCUCUGUGAGGCCAGAGCUGGAACAUUCAGCUGUGAGGGUGUUUAUAUUUGUGGAACUCUCUUGAACAUUUGCUGUGGGUUUUAAACAGCUGCUAUGCUGAAGCUCUGGGGAUAGGAAGAUCAUGAAUAUUCAGGUGAAGCCACCAGAAUGAACAGCCGUUAAUAGAAUAAAUGCCUAAACAGUUGUGUAAGGCUUAUUAAGACCUAUUGGGGCUGAGAUAAUAAAUUCCCACUCUGACAUGUUGCAACUACUGUCGCUUAAACACUUUGGACCACCUCUUCUGAACUGAAGGAAAAAAUGAUGUUAGUUCUCUGCGCGAAUACAAAGAAACACCUGGAAGCCUUGGCAAGGGGAUGAGAUUUGGCAGAGAUCUUUCCGUGUACCGAUGCAUCCUCAGGAAAAUGAUGUGCCGCUCAUUGUUCCUGUUGUCAAGGUUAUCGCAGUCGACUUCAGGCUGGAACGGGCAUUGCUCUUGCACUGAAGAAAGUCUGUCCUGACUCCCUCAGAGUGCCUCAACAUCAACCAAGAGCCACCGUGAACCUCUGGGGCACUGAGCCUGGCCACCAGCACCCCCACCCCAGCCCAUAUGGCCUGGGCCUCUCCCUUGAUGUUUAAAGGAGAUGAUAAAAAUGCUGCAACCCAGAUAAUGAUCACCUUACUCUUCAAAAAUACUGCCCAAGUUCUUUGUUCAAGAUGCCAAGAACCUGGAUACCCUCCACUGGUAACAAAUAUGACUUUGUUUUUAGCAAGCAACUUUGCAGUGUAAUUAAGUUAAGGAUCUUGAGAUGAGAUCAUCUUGGAAUAUCUGGGUGGGCCCUAAAUCCAAUGACAAGUGUCCUCAUAGGAAGGGAAGAUACACACAGAGGAGAAGGUGGUGUGAAGAUGGAAGCCAAGACUGUUGAUACCAGUUGGAGAGCACCAAGAACUACCCGCAGCCACUGAAAGCUAGGAGAGAGGCAUAGGACUGUCUCCUUCAGACCCUCCAGAAAGACCAAACCUGCCCGUGCCUUGAUUUCAGACUUUUGGCCUCCCACAUUGUGAGAGAAUAAAAUUUUGUUUUUGAAGCCAU
rnacentral:lncRNA from 1 species